CAAUAGCGUAUAUUAAAGUUGUUGCAGUUAAAAAGCUCGUAGUUGGAUUUCUGGUAGGAGUGACCGUGCCAGACUUGAUUGUCUGUGUAUUGUGUUGUCUCCAGCCAUCCUUGUGGAGAACUUUUCUUGCAUUAAUUUGUAGGGAUUGGGACCCGCAUCGUUUACUGUGAAAAAAUUAGAGUGUUUAAAGCAGGCAAUCGCUUGAAUACAUUAGUAUGGAAUAAUAAGAUAGGACUUUGGUACUAUUUUGUUGGUUUGCAUACCAAAUUAAUGAUCAACAGGAACAGUUUGAGGAUAUUCGUAUGAACAUGUCAGAGGUGAAAUUCUUGGAUUUUGAUCAGACGAACUACUGUGAAAGCAUUUAUCAAGGAUGUUUUCAUUAA
rnacentral:rRNA from 1 species